GCAGCGGUGCGUGUAGUAGUCCCAGCUACUCGGGAGGCUGGGGUGGGAGGAUCGCUUGAGCCCAGGAGUUCUGGGCUGUAGUGCGCUAUGCCGAUCAGGUGUCCACACUAAGUUCGGCAUCAAUAUGGUGACCUCCCGGGAGCGGGGGACCACUGGGUUGCCUAAGGAGGGGUGAACCGGCCCAGGUCGGAAACGGAGCAGGUCAAAACUCCUGUGCUGAUCAGUAAAUUACUAAAUUAAGGCAAUGUCAUUAAAUGUCAACAGAAACAUUUUUGAAUUAAUAAAAUGAAACCAAAUUUCAU
ensembl:misc_RNA Metazoa_SRP Metazoan signal recognition particle RNA